rnacentral:rRNA from 1 species
UACGAAGGGGGCUAGCGUUGUUCGGAUUUACUGGGCGUAAAGGGCGCGUAGGCGGCUUGCCAAGUCACUUGUGAAAUCUCUGGGCUUAACCCAGAACGGCCAAGUGAAACUGGCAUGCUAGAGUGCAGAAGGGGCAAUCGGAAUUCUUGGUGUAGCGGUGAAAUGCGUAGAUAUCAAGAGGAACACCUGAGGUGAAGACGGGUUGCUGGGCUGACACUGACGCUGAGGCGCGAAAGCCAGGGGAGCAAACGGG